UACGGAGGAUGCAAGCGUUAUCCGGAAUCAUUGGGCGUAAAGCGCGCGUAGGCGGCCCGGUAAGUCCGUUGUAAAAGUCGAAGGCUCAACCUUCGAAAGCCGAUGGAUACUGCCGGGCUAGAGUACGGAAGAGGCGAGUAGAAUUCCUGGUAUAGCGGUGGAAUGCGCAGAUAUCAGGAGGAAUACCCAUAGCGAAGGCAGCUCGCUGGGACGUUACUGACGCUGAGGCGCGAAAGCGUGGGGAGCGAACAGG
rnacentral:rRNA from 1 species